rnacentral:lncRNA from 1 species
UCCAAAUCACUUAUUUAAACCUAAAAGAACAAUUAAAACAAAAAAAAAACUCAAGAUCUAAUGACAAUAAGAGAGACCCGAAAUCAUAAAAUAAGAAAAGAAAUAAGAAGUUAGGAUUUUGAAGGCAAAUGGUGAACAUGUGCCACCGGUUUGACAGGAUCAUGGCUGAGCACUUUUUGACAAUUUGGAUGUUAGGGAUUUUUCAGAUCUGGGGAGCUUAGGAGGGAACGAAUACAUUGGUAGAGGGAGUUGAAAA